CGCCGCCGCCUCGCGCCCCCACCCCCGCUCCUGCCCCUUUCUCGUCCCCCGCCGCCACGCCUCGAGCCGCCGCCUCGCGCCCCCGCCGCCUCGCCCGUCCUCCUCUCCGUCCCUCUCCCUCACGUGUGUGUCAGCCGGCGACGCUCCAUCUCCUUCCCCACUCUUCCUUGCCGGUAGGAGGAAGAUGACGCGGGAGCAGCACCUUCUCCGCCGGCGACGCUCCAUCUCCGCCGCCGCGGGAGGAGCAGGUGUGUGCGCCGCGGGUGGAGGCGGCGCUGCCGGUGGUUUCGCGGGCGCGCAGGGGUGGCGCCGCCGGUGGAAGCGCGAGCACGCGGGAGCAGCGCCGCCACGGCUACCGACGGAGGAUCACCGCCGUGUCGCGGGCGCGCGGGAGCGGCGCCGCCGGUAGAGGCGCGAGCACGAGGGAGCAGAACCGGCACUGCAGGUAGCAGAGAAGAUACGUGACUUGAAGUUGAUAUUUGGCAUGAUGGCAUCGACACUUGAGUGCCGAGCUUUCUAAUUAUCUUUGAGCAUGGAGGAAGACGAACUGACAAAUACAAGUGUGAGGCGCACACGUGAUUGUGCUCACUUGUGCAGUAUUGCAAUGGUCAGCGGCAACAUUCCAUGCCGCGUGCAGAUAAAAAAUCUCCAGCACCUAUCAGUUGGUUCCCUCGAGCCCCAGGUGUUGAGAUGCAUAGGUCGGCAAGUCUGUUGGCGUUAAAGGGGUAGGAGGUGUUGUUCAAGUAUGAUGUUGAACAUCAGCAUGCUCUGAGGCUGAUUGGUUCAUACCAUCAGCGCAUAAACCCGAUGGCUGGACUCUCCAGCAAUCCCAUGAGAUGGACAUGUGAGCUGCAUUUGACCGUUGAUUGUUGAUCUUUGUCAAAAACCCAAAACUGAUAACCCUAUAAUAGUUAAUUCAUAUGGUCAGAGGUGUUUUACUUGAACACAGAUUGAUAUAGGAGGUGAAGCAUUUGAACAUUGAAGUCUUCAGAGCAUAAACGCCUGAAAUUAUUGCUGAAGUAAAUCAGGAAGGUUAUCUUGCAGCUUCAUGUGCUAUUUUUUUAUCCUCUGAAAGUAUAUGCAGUAUUAUCAGUGGUGAGCGCACAUUGCACUACUUCAGUGUAGAGAUAAGACAGGAUUGGUUUUCUGAAUGUAUAUCAUGUAAUAUCUAAAUUGGUAGCUACUCCAGCUGUUUUAUGAUUCUGUCUUGCAUUGAAUUACUCUAUUAGUUUUUCUGUGAAUUUAGCUCCUAACACCCAUUGUCUUUUGAGGUGGUUGAGGAUUUGUCUAUACAAGCAAAUGUACCUGUCAGCAAUUGAAGAGGUACCACAGUCGGGUUUUUUUUGCGGCAAGGAAGGUUAUGUUGCAGCUUCAUGUGCUAUGUUUUUAUCCUCUGAAAGUAUGUGCAGUAUUAUCUGAGAUGCUAAUUUGCAUGGAGCGUGCCUCAGUUCUGCUGGCCUCCUCCGCUUAUUCUCUCCUAGCCAAUGGAGCAUAGCACGUAGCAGCGCAGAUCGUAAUGACGCAGGCGAG